AAAGACUUGGUAAUUUAAAUUGGUUGAAGGUAAAUAUGGACGCAAUCAUACAUUUUUGUAGGAAUGAACUAUUUUCUCUGAACGCUUGAUACUUUGAGUGUUUUCCAUCUACAAUAUUACAAAUGCCACCUUUAAAACUAACAAUGAAUUUUUCUUAAAUAGGAAAUAAAAUUAACUGCUAUUUCGCUCUUGAUGAUUAAUAGCUUUAGACGUGUCUGCCCACUUCCUUUAUAACUUCCCACAUUCUUGCUAUUUUCAAAUCUUACCCGCAAACUGUUCUUUGAUUCGACUUCAACCUGGACAUUUUCUAUCUGUAGGACCUGUUUCGACUUGGCUUGUGUUCCAUGUCCGUCUUGUCUAUCGAACCCCUUCGACCAUGUUCAC
rnacentral:lncRNA from 1 species